rnacentral:rRNA from 1 species
CCUACGGGAGGCAGCAGUGAGGAAUAUUGGUCAAUGGCCGGAAGGCUGAACCAGCCAUGCCGCGUGAAGGUCAGUGCCCUAUGGGCGUUAAACUUCCUUUGUGCGGGAGCAAUAAUGGUCACGUGUGGCCAGACGAGAGUACCGUACGAAUAAGCAUCGGCUAAAUCCGUGCCAGCAGCGGCGGUAAUACGGGGGAUGCAAGCGUUAUCCGGAUAUAUUGGGUUUAAAGGGUGCGUAGGCUGUGAGGUAAGUCAGCGGUGAAAUGCCACCGCGCAACGGGGUGAAGUGCCAUUGAUACUGGCGUGCUGGAAUGCGGAUGCCGUGGGAGGAAUGUGUGGUGUAGCGGUGAAAUGCAUAGAUAUCACACAGAACACCGAUUGCGAAGGCAUCUCACGAAUCCGCGAUUGACGCUGAUGCACGAAAGCGUGGGUAUCAAACAGGAUUAGAUACCCCAGUAGUC